rnacentral:rRNA from 1 species
GACUGAGGGGGCGUGCGUUAUUCGGAAUUACUGGGCUUAAAGGGCGAGUAGGCGGUGGAACAAGUCUGAUGUGGAAUCCUAUGGCUUAACCAUAGAACUGCCUUAGAAACUGUUUCACUUGAGUCAGUGAGGGGAGGGCGGAAUUCCCGGUGUAGCGGUGAAAUGCGUAGAUAUCGGGAGGAAGGCCGGUGGCGAAGGCGGCCCUCUGGCACUGUACUGACGCUGAGGCGCGAAAGCGUGGGGAGCAAACAGG